rnacentral:rRNA from 1 species
AUGAAUUCCCAACCAGGAAAUUCUUUUUCCUUUACGCCACCAUAUCCACUCGAGACAGGCUCGCCGGCCGGAGGCCGCCAUCUUGUCCUCUGCAGGAGUGCACGGCGACAAGUUUUGCUUGUUGUCGAGCGUCGCGAUGCCAUGCGUCGGGAGGAAGAGCACCACAUGCGGGGGUGUGAGCCGGUCGCGUCGUUUCCAUCGGCGCCAUCGGGAAGGGCGCCACUGCUGCUGUCCGUGUCGCCCGGUGCGUUGGAAACACCACGGGUCGUUCGGCGUUCUUCGAUUCCUCUCUGCGAUCGUGGAAUGGACGAGCGCCUCUCAGACCGUGUCGAGAAAGCCGCCUCCCGUCGCCUUUUCUCUCGGUCAAAUCGCUCUCAGGAGCGUGCUGAUAACGAAGACCGAAACAUAUACGAUGUUCUCCUCAGCGUCGCUGCCUGGUGUGAUCCCAAAUCCCAAUAUCUCUCCCUGAUUCUCCAUACGGCCAUGAAUCCAUCGAUUUGGUUGGCCGCUGCCAUCCGGCGUCCCGAUGGGAGGAACGGCAGCGUGGAUGCAUGUGGAGGCACAGGGGACGAACACCACAUCCGGGCUUGUGUCGGCCGCUUGGUUCGAGGGGCCAAGGGCCACCGGUUCAUCAACGCCGGAGGGCGUCGCCCCCACGGACAUGGCAUCUGCUAUUUAUACAAGGGAAAGGACACCAUUGAAAAAGGUGUCUAUUCAGAGGAGAUGCCUAUUCGGCAGGAACCGACGCAGCAGUUUUACAACUGCCUGCGGUUAGUACAAUCCGCACUACAUGUUGAAAACUUUGCGUGCUACCGCGCGGGCGCCGCAUGGGCGGUGUGGACGCUGGUCCGGCCGUCCGUCACGUCGUCAACCGAAACAGACUUAUUCAAUAGGAAUAGCAGAUCGGCACUCAAGGUGCCUUACUCGCGCAUUUCGCUUACUCUCAUGGUAUCAGGGCGGGAGUCGCGGAAGCAGAUAGUGCGGACGAAUGCGGCGAACCGAGCGAGCUCAGUGACAUUGGGUUCAAGGGAGACAAAUUUACUUGGAGGAAUCACAGCAAGGAAGUUAGUUCAUACAUCUGUGAGCGCCUUGAUAGAGCCACUGCAAACGACACUUGGUGUGAGUGGUUCCCAAAUUUCAGUGUCCUCAAUGGCGCUCCUCGCCACUCGGACCACGGGCCUGUUAUUGUUUGCACUCAGGGAGGGAGUAGAAGGGAGCGAGGUGGUGAUGGAGGCUUCCAUUUUGAGGCGUGGUGGUUGCAGGAAGACGGGUGCAACGGUGGCAGGGCGCAUGUCGAAGUGGGGAAAGGAGGUGGCUGGUGACUUGAAAGAGAAGCUUAAACAAGCAAGACGGGAGUUGGAAAGGUGUAUGCGUGCUGCGGUGAGUGAAGAAAAAGUUCAGGAGGAGGCGAAGCUAAGGUGCAGGGUGGAGAAAAUAGAGGAAAGGAGAAAUACGAAGGCUAAGCAGCGGUCGCACGUCACAUGGCUGAGGAAGGGCAACAGAAGCACGAAAUACUUCAUGGCGGUGGCGUCUGCUAAGAAGAAGGUGAAUAGAGUUAGAAUGCUGAAGAAGGAGGAUGGAUCGGAUGUGAAGGAGGGGGAGGAGCUCAAUAACUAUCCUAGGGUAACCCCGUCCAUGAGGGUUGUGCUUGAGGCCGAGUUUACCAGAGAGGAGGUGAAGGCGGCCCUUGAUCAUAUUGGGGACCUCAAGGCGCCUGGCCCGGACGGCAUGCCAUUCAUCGUGUGCAUGCCGGAUGGUUGGAACGAUACAGUGGUUGUCCUCAUACCAAAGCUGUUCCCGGAGGGAUAUAUUUGGAGGAUCGGUGAUGGUACGCCGGUCAACAUCUGGUCCGAUCCUUGGUUGCCACGUCCGUGGUCGCGCGGGGUGAUCACCCCCCGAGGCGCUAACUUGCUUCAGAAAUUGCCGUGUCCCCCCAAUAUCCAGAUGUUUACUUGGCGCCUCAAGCAUGAUUCCAUGGCCUUUCGUACAAAUGUGGCACACAAGGGAAUCCCCAUCACUGACACUAAAUGCCUUUUCUGUAGCCGGGCAGACGAGGAUGUUGCCCACCUCUUCAUAAAAUGCAAGCGUGCGAAAGAAGUCUGGAGGAUGCUAGAGCUGGAGAAGGAACGCAUUGAGCUAGAAAACAAGCUGAGACAGGGAGAGGUGCCCUGGUCUGCCGAUACGGUGGCCCGUCGUACGAGAAGCACCAUGCUCGAGUAUCUUGAAAUCUUCGGGAAACAGCCGGACAAGCCAGCUCCUGACAAGUGGAGGCCACCGGAGCACGCUGAGUUCAAGAUCAACAUGGACGGGUUGUUCGCUCCAGGUCAGAACCAUUCAUGCUGGGGUGUUGCCGUCAGAUCGAAGGAUGGCACUUUGGCCUAUGCUUGGGCUGGGAGGCAGGAUCAUAUUUCGGAUGUUUUUGCUGCAGAAAUCAGUGCAAUGUUGCAUGCUGUGCAUACUGCAGCGGAUCUGCGCAUAGUUCGAGUGGAGCAGGAGAUUGAUUCUCAGCUGGUAGCGGAAGCGUUGGAUUUGCAGAAGGCCGACUCAUCGGCGCGUAGCGCAAACUCUGUUGCUCAUGAGCUUGCCGCUCUUGGUCGUGCUUGUGACCCUAACCACUUUCUAGAGUGGGAAUCUGAUGUACCCGCCCCUGUGGGCGCUUGUGACUUGGGCGAUUUUCCCAAGAGCAGUUAA